GAUGAAGAACGUAGCGAAAUGCGAUAAGUAAUGUGAAUUGCAGAAUUCAGUGAAUCAUCGAAUCUUUGAACGCACAUUGCGCCCCUUGGUAUUCCGAGGGGCAUGCCUGUUCGAGCGUCAUUAUAACCCCUCAAGCUCAGCUUGGUGUUGGGGCCUGCUGCACUGGCAGCCCUUAAAAUCAGUGGCGGCGCCAUCUGGCUCUAAGCGUAGUAAUUCUUCUCGCUAUGGAGUCCUGGUGGAUGCUUGCCAUCAACCCCCAAUUUUUCUAUGGUUGACCUCGGAUCAGGUAGGGAUACCCGCUGAACUUAAGCAUAUCAAUAAGCGGAGGG
rnacentral:misc_RNA from 1 species